GUUAAUGUAGCUUAAUUUACUCAAAGCAAGGCACUGAAAAUGCCUAGAUGAGUCGUAAGACUCCAUAAACA
rnacentral:tRNA from 6 species